UACAGCCAUACCAAACUGAGUAUGCCCAGCCUCAUCUUAUCUCAGAAGAUAAGCAUGGAUGGAACUGGUUAGAAUUUAUAUGGAAAAAUAGCAAGUUAAACGCUGUGC
ensembl:rRNA predicted gene, 23900